AGGACGAACGCUGGCGGCGCGCUUCAAGCAUGCAAGUCGAACGAGAUACCCGGGCUUGCCCGGGUGGAGAGUUGCGAACGGGUGAGUAACACGUGAGGAACCUGCCCCGAAGACCGGGAUAACGCCGGGAAACUGGUGCUAAUACCGGAUGCCCUCGCCGGAUCGCAUGGUCUGGCGAAGAAAUGGAUUCCGCUUCGGGAUGGUCUCGCGGCCUAUCAGCUUGUUGGUGGGUAACGGCCCACCAAGGCAGCGACGGGUAGCUGGUCUGAGAGGAUGUCCAGCCACACUGGGACUGAGACACGGCCCAGACUCCUACGGGAGGCAGCAGCUAGGAAUCUUGCGCAAUGGACGAAAGUCUGACGCAGCGACGCCGCGUGCGGGAUGAAGGCCUUAGGGUCGUAAACCGCUUUCAGCAGGGACGAAAUUGACGGUACCUGCAGAAGAAGCCCGGCAACUACGCGCCAGCAGCCGC
rnacentral:rRNA from 1 species